GAUGAACGCUGGCGGCGUGCUUAACACAUGCAAGUCGAACGGAAAGGCCCAAGCUUGCUUGGGUACUCGAGUGGCGAACGGGUGAGUAACACGUGGGUGAUCUGCCCUGCACUUCGGGAUAAGCCUGGGAAACUGGGUCUAUUACCGGAUAGGACCACAUUUUGGAUGGUGUGGUGGAAAGUUUUUCGGUGUGGGAUGAGCUCGCGGCCUAUCAGCUUGUUGGUGGGGUAAUGGCCUACCAAGGCGUCGACGGGUAGCCGGCCUGAGAGGGUGUACGGCCACAUUGGGACUGAGAUACGGCCCAGACUCCUACGGGAGGCAGCAGUGGGGAAUAUUGCACAAUGGGCGCAAGCCUGAUGCAGCGACGCCGCGUGGGGGAUGACGGCCUUCGGGUUGUAAACUCCUUUCGCUAGGGACGAAGCGCAAGUGACGGUACCUGGAGAAGAAGCACCGGCUAACUACGUG
rnacentral:rRNA from 1 species